rnacentral:rRNA from 1 species
AUUUGACCUCGGAUCAGGUAGGGAUACCCGCUGAACUUAAGCAUAUCAAUAAGCGGAGGAAAAGAAACCAACAGGGAUUGCCCUAGUAACGGCGAGUGAAGCGGCAACAGCUCAAAUUUGAAAUCUGGCUCUUUCAGGGUCCGAGUUGUAAUUUGCAGAGGGUGCUUUGGCAAAGGUUGUGGUCUAAGUUCCUUGGAACAGGACGUCACAGAGGGUGAGAAUCCCGUACGUGGCCGCCAACCCGCGCUAUGUAAAGCCCCUUCGACGAGUCGAGUUGUUUGGGAAUGCAGCUCUAAAUGGGAGGUAAAUUUCUUCUAAAGCUAAAUAUUGGCCAGAGACCGAUAGCGCACAAGUAGAGUGAUCGAAAGAUGAAAAGCACUUUGGAAAGAGAGUCAAAAAGCACGUGAAAUUGUUGAAAGGGAAGCGCUUGCAGCCAGACUUGCCUGUAGUUGCUCAUCCGGGCUCUUGCCUGGUGCACUCUUCUAUAGGCAGGCCAGCAUCAGUCUUGGCGGUCGGAUAAAUGCGUGCUAAACGUACCUCUCUUCGGGGAGGACUUAUAGGGCACGCGGCAUACGACCAGCCGGGACUGAGGUCCGCGCAUCUGCUAGGAUGCUGGCGUAAUGGCUGUAAGCGGCCCGUCUUGAAACACGGACCAAGGAGUCUAACAUCUAUGCGAGUGUUUGGGUGUCAAGCCCGAGCGCGUAAUGAAAGUGAACGGAGGUGGGAACCCCUCGGGGUGCACCAUCGACCGAUCCUGAUGUCUUCGGAUGGAUUUGAGUAAGAGCAUAGCUGUUGGGACCCGAAAGAUGGUGAACUAUGCCUGAAUAGGGUGAAGCCAGAGGAAACUCUGGUGGAGGCUCGCAGCGGUUCUGACGUGCAAAUCGAUCGUCAAAUUUGGGCAUAGGGGCGAAAGACUAAUCGAACUAUCUAGUAGCUGGUUCCUGCCGAAGUUUCCCUCAGGAUAGCAGUAACGUUUUCAGUUUUAUGAGGUAAAGCGAAUGAUUAGAGGCCUGGGGGUUGAAACAACCUUCACCUAUUCUCAAACUUUAAAUAUGUAAGAAGUCCUUGUUACUUAAUUGAACGUGGACAUUUGAAUGUAUCGUUACUAGUGGGCCAUUUUUGGUAAGCAGAACUGGCGAUGCGGGAUGAACCGAACGCGGGGUUAAGGUGCCAGAAUGCACGCUCAUCAGACACCACAAAAGGUGUUAGUUCAUCUAGACAGCAGGACGGUGGCCAUGGAAGUCGGAAU